CCUACGGGGUGCAGCAGUGGGGAAUAUUGGACAAUGGGCGAAAGCCUGAUCCAGCCAUGCCGCGUGUGUGAAGAAGGCCUUCGGGUUGUAAAGCACUUUCAGUGGGGAAGAAAGCCUUGGGGCUAAUACCCUCGAGGAAGGACAUCACCCACAGAAGAAGCACCGGCUAACUCCGUGCCAGCAGCCGCGGUAAUACGGAGGGUGCGAGCGUUAAUCGGAAUUACUGGGCGUAAAGCGCGCGUAGGCGGUCUGAUAAGCCGGUUGUGAAAGCCCCGGGCUCAACCUGGGAACGGCAUCCGGAACUGUCAGGCUAGAGUGCAGGAGAGGAAGGUAGAAUUCCCGGUGUAGCGGUGAAAUGCGUAGAGAUCGGGAGGAAUACCAGUGGCGAAGGCGGCCCUCUGGACUGACACUGACGCUGAGGUGCGAAAGCGUGGGUAGCAAACAGGAUUAGAUACCCUGGUAGUC
rnacentral:rRNA from 1 species